GAUGAAGAACGCAGCGAAAUGCGAUACUUGGUGUGAAUUGCAGAAUCCCGUGAACCAUCGAGUCUUUGAACGCAAGUUGCGCCUCAAGCCAUUAGGUUGAGGGCACUUCUGCCUGGGCGUCACAUAUCGUUGCCUGAUGCCAGUUUCCUCGUGAUGGGUGACUGUGCAGGGCGAAUGAUGGCUUCCCGUGAGCAUUGUUGCCUCAUGGUUGGUUGAAAAUUGAGUCCUUGGUAGGGAGCGCCGUGAUAGAUGGUGGUUGAGUGACGAACGAGACCCAAUCAUGUGAGACCCCUACCGAAUUUGGCCUUCAUGACCCACAUGCGUCUUUGGAACGCUCAUGACGAGACCUCAGGUCAGGCGGGGCUACCCGCUGAGUUUAAGCAUAUCAAUAAGCGGAGGA
rnacentral:misc_RNA from 1 species